rnacentral:lncRNA from 1 species
CCAAUAGGGGGAAGGGGGUGUGUCACAUGCAAAUAACCCCGUGGAACCCAGCCCCUCCCCUAAGGCCAGCCACAGCCCCUGCGCUAGGUCCCUGCAGAAAUGGGGAGGGAAUGAGAUAAAUAGCUGGGAGCUAGAGUUCGCUAGAGGGUCUAAGACUCGACUAAAUGUUUCCUAUUUCUUGAGAAAGACGGUGGGGGUGGGGGGAGCUAAAACGGUGGUUAGGCUUUCUCUUUCUUACCUAGAAUCUUAGCUGGAAAGAAGACUGCAGUCCUGUAGCAGUUGGCAGCCAAGGAUCUCAAAGAACUUUAUGCAUCGCUUAUCCUUGUUUUGCAAAAGACCAGUUACCUAAAGCUUCGGCACCAGGUGGGGGAUAAAUGUUUAGGUAUAUUUACACCAUUAGUCGGUUACAGGGAAACAAAAGCCUCAAAACCUGUGGGUUAGCGGUUUCCUCCUCCAUCUAAAGCCCCUUCUCGUCGUAGUCUCUCAGCAACGAAAAUUCUUUUAUUUGUCCAGCUCUACAAGGCCAAAGAGACAGGUUUGUCUUCCACCCCAAAGUCCUUCUGGGGCAGCUGGUUAGAUAAACGCAGAGCUCGGAGCCCUGCCUGGGAAAGAAGCUUCGGAGAACAAAUUGCCAUUUAAAGCUGUUGGGCUAGACCUGUCUCUUGCAAAGCUACAAAUGAAUUCAGGAUUUUGGUGUUCACGUUCUGGGGAGAGUAAGCAGAUGUAACUGGGGGAAACUCAGGCUUUCAGGGUGUGGAGGGGGACAGACAAGUGGGAGAGUAAGGUCUCCAGAGGGGCUAGCAGCGCUCAUGCUGGUCGAAGGCGGGUUCCGACGCGAGACACCCCGAAACCUGCUCCCCUUGUGAGACAAAGGCAGGUGCCGAGCGAGAACCUGAUUGGUGCCGGAUGCUCCCCGGCGUCCUCCAGGCCCCGAAGAUUUCUUGCUCUGCCCACUGGGGCCGAAUUCCGUGCACACUGGAACCCCAGCUCCCCACCCGGCCCUGGCUGAAACCACACAGGACUGUGCGUUAUGACAUCACCUGUUUUCGCGCUGGAGAACGCGAUCAGUAUUCUCGGCUUCUGCUUUUCUUAAAGGUCGCUAGCGUACGAGGAUCUAUGAAGGCCUGCAGUUGGCAGAAUGAAUCUGUGCAGAUGAUUUACACGAAUGAUUUCACUGGGCCCAAUACCAGUACUACUCCGAAGGAGGAAUUGAGACAAUGUGAUCCAAAAGUGGCACUGCUUGAGUGCCCCGUCCCCUUCCACCCUCUCCAUCGCCCACCUCCACCAGGAAAAUUAUUCUUGCUGAAGCUCAUUUUCCAAUAUUUCAUCAAGAUCCAGAUUUCUGCCAGCUUUCUCUUCUAA